rnacentral:lncRNA from 1 species
CUCAUUUCACAGAGCCUAUACAAAAACUUUCACAAUUUUUGGAUCCGCAUAAGAUUUUCUACACAAAUUCAAACAUAAAGCACUUUUAAAAUAAAAAGAAAAAGGAAAAAGCACACUGCUGCCUUGGUCGGCCUGCUCACGCUCGGCCCACGCGCUGCGCGCGCUAUCCUCCUCCUCCUCACGACGUCGCUGACAGCAGGCCCCCGC